UACGUAAAAAGACUAGUGUUAGUCAUCUUUAUUAGGUUUAAAGGGUACCUAGACGGUAAAUUAAACCUUCAUAAGGUACUUUUUUACUAGAGUUUUAUAAGAGAAAGGGAGAACUUUUGGAGUAGAGAUAAAAUUUUAUGAUACUAAAAGGACUGAUAAAGGCGAAGGCUGCUUUCUAUGUAAAAACUGACGUUGAGGGACGAAGGCUUGGGUAGCAAUAAGG
rnacentral:rRNA from 1 species